rnacentral:rRNA from 1 species
GUGGGGAAUAUUGGACAAUGGGCGCAAGCCUGAUCCAGCCAUGCCGCGUGAGUGAUGAAGGCCUUAGGGUUGUAAAGCUCUUUCAGAUGGGAAGAUAAUGACGGUACCAUCAGAAGAAGCCCCGGCUAACUUCGUGCCAGCAGCCGCGGUAAUACGAAGGGGGCUAGCGUUGUUCGGAAUUACUGGGCGUAAAGCGCACGUAGGCGGACUUUUAAGUCAGGGGUGAAAUCCCGGGGCUCAACCUCGGAACUGCCUUUGAUACUGGAAGUCUUGAGUAUGGAAGAGGUGAGUGGAAUUGCGAGUGUAGAGGUGAAAUUCGUAGAUAUUCGCAGGAACACCAGUGGCGAAGGCGGCUCACUGGUCCAUAACUGACGCUGAGGUGCGAAAGCGUGGGGAGCAAACAGG